rnacentral:lncRNA from 1 species
CUUCCCCUCGAAGCCCUAACCCUUCUCCUCCCUCCUCUCUCUCCCUGGCGCCGUCAGGAGGCGGCCCCGAGCUCCUCCUCCGCCAUGACUGGCCCCUGGUGAGGUCGUCGCCAUCAAACUCGUCGCCUUCCUUCCUACCCGACAGCACCAGGAGAACGCAGUGAACCAGGAGGAUCCAUUCCCGCUGCAAAUAGCCGUCGAUCGCCUCUGCAUCCACGACGUCCACGACGGCCUUCUUCCUCCUCUGCUCCGACGAGAUCUUCCGCAGAGCCUAUUCUUCCUCGUCGUCACCUGCCUCCUCCACGUCGAUCCUGCUACCUCUCCUCGACGCGUAGGGUGAGCAAGCCUCGAUCUUCUCCUUCCCUUCCUCCUAGCGUAGAGCCCAGGUUGCCGCAGCUGUCGCCAUCGUCGCCGGAAGUUGGGCUCUGUCGAGCCGCCGCCGUAGUGAUUCUCCCGAGGUGCUAUGAGGAAAAAUGGGUUCCUCUCGAACCCCUCUUCCUCCCCGCUAGAGCCCGCCGUCAAAUUUGAGCCAUAGCAUCGCCGACAACCUUCCCCUGUUCUGACCGCCGUCGAUUGGUAGGAAUAGCAGAGGGGGAUACCUAAGAGGGUUACGUCCCCCUCUCUGUUAAGCUUCGUUCGCAUAGCAGAGUGGUUGUAGGUGGUUUUGGCGCCAGUGAGAUCGUGGGUUCGAUACCCCAAAGCGCCACCCUUUUUAUUUUGGUUUACUGGUACAGUAGCUCGACAGGGUGAGAUAGCUUGGUUUCUUUCCCUAUCCUGUCGAGAGCAUUGCAGUAGCGUGGUGGUGUGGGUUGCUUGUCGAACCAGGGGGUCCUGGGUUCGAUUCCAGUGAACUCCCCUUUUAUUUUGCUGCCUUGUAUUUAAUUUUUGUGUACUAGUUCUUUCUUGGGCAACAAGUUAGUGGUUGUUAUCCUUUUUGUUAGAGGCUUAGAAGUAUUUUUUUCCUGGCUAGCAUCAAGUAUGAUGUUUGAGUAUGUAGUGUGAGUGUGCACAUGUGUUGAUGUGUGAGAAUGUAGUAUGUUGUGUAUGUGUGUGUGUAGUGUGGUGCAUGUGUGUGUGUGUGACACACNNNNNNNNNNNNNNNNNNNNNNNNNNNNNNNNNNNNNNNNNNNNNNNNNNNNNNNNNNNNNNNNNNNNNNNNNNNNNNNNNNNNNNNGAGUAGUUUAUCUAGUGGAGUAGUGCAUGAGUAGGGGUGGGUGUGCAUGAGCACUAGUGAUGCAUGCAUGUGUGUGUGUGUGGUGGUGUGCUAAGGCACAUGUGCAUGAGGUAUAACCCCCUCAUGUUCACCUUUGGGAUUGUGUCUUGUGUGUGUGCAUGGUAGGUGGAUGAGUUGCAACACAUGCUUGAUCACAUGUGAUAAUGCACUAUUUGGGCUUAUGUGAUUCUAGGUUGAUUUUUAUUUUAGUUUUGUGCCUACUUGCUCCAUGCAAGUACCCAUGUUUUAAAUAUGUAUUUGGGGUAGAAUCAUCCCAGGAAUCCAUUGGUGGAAUCAUAUUUCCCUUUGGAGCAACUUCAUAAACUGUCAUUUUCUGUCUUGAUGCCAUGUUUAGAGCUUAGUGUCAAGUGGUGUGUUGGCCCUAAGAGGAUGAAUCCUUGAUGUGGCAGUAGUGGGUGAACCCCUCUACAACAUGGAGUCUUUGUUUUAUACAUAGGAGUUUGUAUGUGCUAGUUGUGCCUUGUCAAAGUUGACAUGUGGCUGAAAUUGUCAGCUUGAUGUAAAUCUGUGAUUUUCACCAAGUCUGAGAACUGUUGUUAUUUUCUUCCCUUGUUGAUGUGGUUGCACAAGCUCAUGUGUUGGGAAUCAGCCCCUGCAACAAACUAAGGUUUGUGAGCUUUUGGGUUUGUCUAGCUCUCUGUUAAAUUUCAUGCACUUUCACUUCCUGUAGAUAUCAUUUUGGAGGCUGUCAAAAUGCUUCACGACAUAAGCAGCUCGUGAAAAUCUGAGAUUUUCACUAAGUCCCAGAAAUCUGUUAUUUUUGUCCAAGUUUGUGUCCAUAGAUCUUCUCAUGUGUGAUGCCUUUGUAGUAGCUUCUUGCUAAGGCUUGUAGAGCUUUUGAAUGGCUUUUGCCACAUAUCUUGUUUGGCACAUUUGGGUGGCUGUAGGUACUUUGAAUGUUGUAGACAAACUGCUAUGAUGCUGUUUAGAUCAAAUUGCAUGUUUUAGUUGUUUUGAAACUUGUGUGAGUAUUGUUGGUGGUGUGGUGAGUUUCUUUGCACCACCCCACCUAUAAUUGAUUGUUUGAUCAUGUGGCAACCUGGGAACACCAGAAGAGUGCCAUUGGAGUGUGCUUGUGGUGGAUUUGAACCGUAGGGCUCCAUACCUUGUUUUGUAGUUUCCGUUGAUCCGUAGCUCCGUUCUCAAUGUUCUUUAUAUGAUUUUGCAUCGUUUUCUCAUGAUGCACCUAUUCAUGCCAUCUUCAUGCAUGUACAGAUAGCUUAGUGUGAAGUUCUGUCCAGAAGUUUAUCUUCUCUUCUCAUGCUUAUGCAAGUGACUAGAAUAGUGAUGCAUGCUUCAUUCUCAUCUCAUGCAUCAUGUUGUUUAUCACAUCAUGUUGUGUUGGUGUUCAUUGGCUGUUAUUUUUAUCUUGGGUAGCACCGGGAUCGGAGAGAGAGUACGUGGAUUCUGGAGAGUACGUGCAGGACGAUCAAGAGCAGUUCCAAGCUGAAGACAUCACAGGCAAGAUGACCGUGACCUUGAUACCAUAUCUAGCUUUGUUAUGCUUAGAAUCAUGUUUCCCUUGAUAAAUUCUUGCUGCCUACCAUGUGAUAUAAUUGCCUCCUGAUUAUGCCAUGAAACCUAAACACCAUCCCCCUAGCUAAUGUUGUUUGGCUAAGUAGGCUUGCUCAACUUCUAAUGAUAACUUUUCUAGUUGCAGGUGCCAGCUGUCUCAUGUGAUAACAUGAGUAUUCGCAUAUCAUUAUGAUUAAACUUCUAUUUAAUUAAUGCACCUAUAUACUUGGUAAAUGACGGAAGGCCUAGCCUCUUGCCGGGUGAUUUGUUUCGUUAUUGCCGCCUUAGUUUCGGCUACCGGUGUUUGAUUCCAUAACUGAUCGCUCCUAACACGUUCGGGGUUGUUAUGGGGACCCCCUUGAUAAAUCGUGUAGUGUUAAGACUUGUCCGGCAGGACCCAACAUUGGUUUUUAAUUUGCUAAUCACCUAAUAAUAAUUUUGCAUAGGGAAUAGCUACCCCGAGGAUUUAGUCAACAACCCGGGUAGUGCUCCUCAUGAGUAUUGGUCCCACCUGAGCGAUGUCCGGGGGCCCUCUGGUCACCCAGUGGUUUAGCCAUCCCGACGUCUAGCUCAUCCGUCGUGUCCUGAGACUGAGAUACACGGCUCUUAUCGAGGUCGUCAACACGACGGGAGCUCCUGCUAGAUUUGUCUUACCUUAGCGAUAUAUCUUGCGUAUAUGAAUCCCGAUGAAACUUUGGGUCUCCUCAAAGUUGAGGUUUUCCUCUAAGGAAUCCGACGAGAUCACGAGAUUCAUGAUAGAGGAUUACUUUGUGGCCCAUGACCGUUUGUGAUGGACUAGUUGGAGCACCCCUGCAGGGUUUAAUCUUUCGGAAAGCCAUGCCCGCGGUUAUGUGGCAACAUGGAUAAUUUGUUAACACCCGGUUAUAGAAAACUGCCAACUGUGUGUGUAACCGUGACUAUCUCCUUCGAAGACCUCGCUUCGAUCGAGAGCACGGUGGGGUUAUGUUUGACGUAAGUAGGUGUUCAUGAUCACUUAGUGAUCACCUAGUCUUCGACCGCUCGCGUAGACCACCACAUCAAUAACUCUGAUCUUCGUAAGUUAGCCACCAUAAAUGCUUAGGAUGCCGCAACCUAUACACUGAACCUUCCUCACCUAAUAACCUGACUAGUUUCGGUACCAAGGUCAUCCGAUUGCUGAGUCCCCGUGGCUCACAGUUUACUACAACACUCCAACAGGUACAUGAACGCCUGAUGCAGGAGAUCGAGACGGCACGCAGCUGGCGUGAUAGUAAAAUGAGGAGAACGACCGUCUGUACAUGAACUACCCAGAGGACUGAGGCCGUGGUCGUGAUCGUGGGCCAGCAUGCGGGAUAUCAUAGUAUUUUCCUUGUUUUAUGUAGCCCGUAGCGGGACUAUCUUGUCUGAAUAAUUGUGUGGAUGUAACCCUGAUAUUAUACUAUGUGAGAUGGAAAAUGUAUGCCCUAUUUGUCAAUCUUUGUUUAUGUAUUUGCUAUGAUUAUCUCGCUUGCGAAACACUUAGAUGCGGCUCUUUCCCUUUUGGGGCAUCGCCCCCAAAAAUAGGAAAGGGCCGCAUCUUAGUUGUUACACUAUCCCACACAAGCAAACAAAAAGCAAGCGAAAGAAAAGGGAAAACAAAAAAGGCAAAUAUUUUUGUAAAUUUUUGUUUUUCAGAUGUGGGGGAGAGGAAAACGAG